rnacentral:rRNA from 1 species
CCUACGGGCGGCAGCAGUGAGGAAUAUUGGUCAAUGGCCGGAAGGCUGAACCAGCCAAGCCGCGUGAAGGACGAAGGUGCCAAGCAUUGUAAACUUCUUUUGUCAAGGGACAAAAUCAGGCUCGAGAGCCUGACCGAGGGUACUUGAAGAACAAGCAUCGGCUAACUCCGUGCCAGCAGCCGCGGUAAUACGGAGGAUGCGAGCUUUAUCCGGAUUUAUUGGGUUUAAAGGGUGCGUAGGGGGGCUGUUAAGUCAGCGGUAAAAGCCCGGGGCUCAACCCCGGCGAGCCGUUGAAACUGGCGGGCUGGAGAGGGCGAGAGGUAGGCGGAAUGCGCAGUGUAGCGGUGAAAUGCUUAGAUAUUGCGCAGAACUCCGAUUGCGAAGGCAGCAUACGGGCGGCGAUCUGACGCUGAGGCACGAAAGCGUGGGUAUCGAACAGGAUUAGAUACCCCUGUAGUC